CGUAGGGUGCGAGCGUUAAUCGGAAUUACUGGGCGUAAAGCGUGCGCAGGCGGUUACAUAAGACAGAUGUGAAAUCCCCGGGCUCAACCUGGGAACUGCGUUUGUGACUGUGUGACUAGAGUACGGCAGAGGGGGGUGGAAUUCCUGGUGUAGCAGUGAAAUGCGUAGAUAUCAGGAGGAACAUCGAUGGCGAAGGCAGCCCCCUGGGCCUGUACUGACGCUCAUGCACGAAAGCGUGGGGAGCAAACAGGAUUAGAUACCCUGGUAGUCCACGCCCUAAACGAUAUCGACUAGUUGUUCGGGAAGGUGACUUCUUGAGUAACGUAGCUAACGCGUGAAGUCGACCGCCUGGGGAGUACGGCCGCAAGGUUA
rnacentral:rRNA from 1 species